CAAACACAGAUUCACACAAUGCAUUCCUUACACACAAAUCAGGACAUUCCCUACACACUCCAUCCCCUGUGAACAAACCCAUUGGUGGAAAAUGAAGGUGGACCCUGGGACCCAGACCUUGAGCUGUGUAAAGGGCCCCCAAAAAAUGGAGCUGCUUCUCGUUCUCCCAGAACAUUGAUUUGUGUGACCACAGUUACAAACAGCCUCCAGAGAUCCUGUUAUACACCAGACCAGUGGAGCCAGACUGCAGCUAGAGCCCAUCAUCAUCCCUCAUCUGCUUGUAAGUAGGUAAUCUAGUAUAUUAUUCGUGGCACUAAUCUCUAAUUUACCUCACAUUAAAGAAACACUAUAGUCCCCAGAACCACUGCACCUAAUAAUGUAGUGGUCCUGGUGUCUAUAGCCGGUCCCUGCAGGCCUUUUAAUGUAAACACAGCGGCACUGCAGCACUGGCGUUAGUUAACAUGGCAGGUCAUAUGGGUGGGG